ensembl:lncRNA
GGGGGUACAGCUGGGAUGCUGAACAGCGCCACUGGGCUACUGAAGCCUCAGAAAAAAAGACCUGCAGAUUUUGUGAGCUCAGGGCAAAAAACAAAAACUGGAUGGUGAGGGGAAUCGAGUGAUGACGAAGAACAGGAACAUGUGAUGGUGUGAGAGUUCAGACGGUGGUGGAAACUUUCAUCAGAGGAUUUGUGAAGCUAAGGAGGAAGGGAGGACGUACAUAAAAGACAACCACACCAACUCACUGUCUCUGAUCAUUCAAUCGUCAAACAUCACAGGAGCAGAUCCAGAAGUCUUUGCCAGCUACAGGCCCAUCUCAAAUCUUCCAUUCCUUUCCAAGGUGCUGGAAAAAGUUGUUGCCACACAGCUUCAGGACCAUCUAACCCAAAACAACCUGUAUGAGAAGUUCCAGUCUGGUUUCCACCAAGGCCACAGCACGGAAACAGCUCUGGUCAGGGUUACAAAUGACCUACUGAGGACGGCAGACGCUGGCUCCCCAUGUCUUCUCAUUCUCCUGGACUUAACUGCUGCGUUUGACACCGUGGACCACAACAUCUAUUGUCCAUUCCUUUGUCUCAUCCAGGCUCGACUACUGCAAUGCGCUCCUCAUUGGGAUCUCUGGAAAAGCCUCCUGAAGCUGCAGUACAUUCACACGUUCCCUCCGCUCUGGUUCAGCCUAUCUCCUGAAACCCCGCAGAACCAAGCUCUGUACUAUGGGCGAUGGGGCAUUUUGCUCAGCUGCUCCCAGGCUGUGGAAUGCUCUCCCCGACCACCUGAGGACACCACAGACUGUGGACGCUUUUAAACGUGGCCUUAAGACCCACCUUUUUAGCAGAUCUUUUGGCUGAUUACCUACCCCUUUCCUUGUCCUUUUGUUGUUUCUUUUAGUUUUAAUACUUUUUUCUCCUUAGCAUUUCUAUGUAGCACUUUGAGAUUUGCUUAAAUAUAAAGUGUGUUACAAAUAAAACGUAUUAUUAUUAUUAUUAUUAUUAUCUUCAUAUGGGCCUCGCCUAAGUGUAG